rnacentral:rRNA from 1 species
UACGGAGAGUGCGAACGUUGUUCGGAUUCACUGGGCGUAAAGAGCUCGUAGGCGGUCUGUCGCGUCUGCUGUGAAAAUCCAGGGCUCAACCCUGGACCUGCAGUGGGUACGGGCAGACUAGAGUGCGGUAGGGGAGAUCGGAAUUCCUGGUGUAGCGGUGAAAUGCGCAGAUAUCAGGAGGAACACCGGUGGCGAAGGCGGAUCUCUGGGCCGUAACUGACGCUGAGGAGCGAAAGCAUGGGGAGCGAACAGG